UACAGAGGUGGCAAGCGUUGUUCGGAAUUACUGGGCGUAAAGCGCACGUAGUCGGCUUUGCAAGUCGGUUGUGAAAUCCCCGGGCUCAACCUGGGAACUGCAUCCGAGACUGCAUUGCUAGAGUAUGGGAGAGGAAAGCGGAAUUUCUGGUGUAGCAGUGAAAUGCGUAGAUAUCAGAAGGAACAUCAGUGGCGAAGGCGGCUUUCUGGACCAAUACUGACGAUCAGGUGCGAAAGCGUGGGGAGCAAACAGG
rnacentral:rRNA from 1 species